rnacentral:lncRNA from 1 species
UGGAGGCAAAGGAGCUUUAAGGUUUAAUGACUACCCGAUUGAAUUUUGGGCCUGCAUGGUGGUUGUAGCCCCUUCAUUUUGGCCAAUUUCUUCCAUUUGGAAUGGCUGUACUUAUCUACUGCCUCUACCCCCAUUAUAUCUAUGUGGCUCCUCAAUCAAGGGAUAUAAUCUAUUUCUGCUCUCUUAAAUUGAAUUUGCUCUGUGACUUGCUUUGGCUAAUGGGACAUCAGCAAACAUGACAGUAACCUGCUGAAUAAAGAGAGAGACAUGUGACCAUCACCCUAGAGACACCAGGGCAAUUUUCAAAAACGCACUGCAUUACAAAAUACAUAUGUACAACCAUCAUUGCUUUCAUCAAAGAAUGAGCAGAGUUACUUUUUCUUCAUAUAAAGAAAA